AUUGAUACCGAUCGCCCAACAUCACAAGACAUCCCCGUCUCUCAGCGUGGACUCCCCCUAUCUGAUUUCACCUUCGGAUUUCCAUGACCUGGGGCUUCAAAUACAAACCACAUAGGAGGCAAGAGUGUUUCAGAGGCAGAGGCCAAAUCCAGCACCUGGAAUUGCUGGCGGGCAGGAGAUUUCAGAGCACUGCAGAAAGAGUUACAGGAGAGCCAGAGCUCAGGAAAACCCCAUGGCUCUUUUUCCUGAGACAAAGAUAAGGAUAUUGAUUGGAGAUAGGUGAAAUGACAAUCAACAGCAGAGGAGCUUUGGACAUCUAACUGGGAUUUCCUGUUCCUCUGGCGUAAGUGCAUGAUGCUCGUUUAAAGACAACGAAUGGAGUGAAAACAAAUCGUGAGCAUGAAGGCUUUGACCCUGAUCCUUGCCAAAAUUCAAGUAUUUCUUCUCCUCUUUCUGGUCUGGAAAUAACAGGAAUUUCCCUCCAGAAACUUUAAAGUGAACAGAUAUUAAGAACCAUCUCCCAGGAAAUUGGGAUUAAGUUCUGAACCAUUGCUAAACUGAGAGCAGAGCUGUGGUCUGUCACUGGUGAAUACCUAGUCAAUUCGAUCUUUUUUCACAGUUAGUUGGAGGGUCAUCUGGAUGGAUCAACUCAACUCCACAGGAAGAAAAUGUCAGCCAAAGACUUCUCAAAAUCUGGAAGAGUGGACUACUACGGGCAGGCAGUGGUGCUGUCAGGGGAGGAUGCUGUUAACAAGACUGAUCAAAACUCUUUUCCCCAGGGUCUCAUAGGCAUGAUUAUUUGGGCUGGAAUGGCCGAGCCUUCCCAGAAUGGACUGCAGAGAGAUAAUGCCAUUCCAUGAGCUAAGUGCAUCCUAAAGACAAGAGUCAAAAGUAAUUGAGUCAGUGACAGGCUCCAGCACCUAAACAAUGUAUACUCAUUAGAUGGGAUUCAGAAGACCUCAGACAUGAGCUCAGAGAGCCUUUACUCCAACCUCUCUCAGAAUUCCUAAUGUUCCCAGACACCCUCAGCACUUCUGUAGUUCCCUCCAGUAUUUCUUUCUAUUCCUCCCCAUCUUUUCACUUCUGUUCCUUUCUCCCCCUUUUGCAUUCAGAGAAAGGUCUUUUCUCUUCAAAGCCUUCAUGUCUUCUCAUCUGUCCUGAGUUAAUUCUCCAGCUUCUUUGGUUGACUAUUCUCUUCUGCACCUCCUCCAUGAGCAGUCAGGAAUACACUGCUCCUUUAAAACUAGGCAAAAACAGUACAGAGGAGAGAGCAGAAGAGAUGUAUAUGGUUUGCCUUACUUUGCAGGUAAAGUUCCUAGAGCACAGUGGGCACCUUCUCAGGGAGUUGAAACUAUCAGCUACAGACUCGUCAAACCUCAAAAUCAGGAUGAGAGGAAAUGAGAGCUGAGUUCUUUGGACAGGCAAAGUUACCUUUCCUCACGAUUUCUGCUUUUGUGGGAUGACAGCCUUUUGGAAGAUCUCAUUUCAGGCAGACAUAAAUAAGAGGGAAGAAAAUCCCAAAUCUCACAAGUUUGAUGAGCCCAACAAAAAGCCCAGGUUGGAGGGUUAUUUUGUUAGGCUUUACACAGGAGAGUAGCAAAAGACAGGUGGCCAUACAGUAAUUUACAUGGGGGGCGAGUGGGGAGGAAGGAGAGGGAGAAAGGUUUGCUUUAUAUAUUUAAAUAUUUAUAAGUUGUUUGCUUUAUGAGGAAGGACUGAGGAAUAAUCCUGCCUUUGUUCUUAAAAAGUGUGAUCAGCAUUUCCUUCCUAAAGAGAGGUGAUAAGCAACUGGGCAUUCUUUUAACAAAGGCUGCAGAAGCCCAUUGAAAGCUUCAUGCCUUAAAGGGGGGGUCUCUUUUCUGAGGAAGAGCGGGACAUCAGGUCUUUAAUAUUGAUAAGGAAAAGUACAUAAAAGGAAUCAUCUAAUAGCACCGACUUGAAAUAAGGAAUUUCAGAAAACUUGCAGUAAAUGUUUCAGCAAACUCUGGAACAGGUGGUGCGAUCUGCAUGGCAGUCUGAGCCAGUGAAAACACAAGUCAUCCAGCAACAAAGUCGCUGAAGCAUGGUUCAAGAAGACAUAAAUAAAACACUUUCACAGGAAAAAGGGAAACCCCUUCCAAAACGCCUGUUACAAACAUGGGGGUUUCCUGGGCAGAACCCCAGCAA
ensembl:lncRNA